UACUGCUGCAUCUUGCUUUGGAUUUUUCUAGCUGAUCAUCUGCUAGCGGCACAAGUAACACAUUUUCGGCACCACUUUUCAACGUCUUCUCUCAUACGUAACCAGUAGAAUUGCUGUCGUAGCUUUUCCAGCGUCUUGUUGAUGCCUAAAUGGCCUCCAGAAGUUCCAUCGUGCAUCUCUCGGAGAACAUCAUUAACUGUUGACUGAGGUACGACUAGCUGCAUAACAUAGGAUUUACCAUCUGCGGAUUCCCACUUACGCCUGAGUAGCCCUUCUUGCACAUGAAGCAAGUCCCAUUGUGCCCAAUAUGCUUUGAGAGUGCAACUUCGGUCGGAGAUGUCAGCCCAUUCUGGUUUCUCUUGAUGUUCCUUCCAUGCAAGGAUGGGUUCGAUGUCCGAAUCUUCCUGUUGGGCCAUCCUGAGUUCUUUAUCACUUCAGCCGGAAGUGGGAUCAGCUCUCGUUCGUCUAACAGCGACAAUUUCCUUCUCUUCUAGUCGUGUGCAAAAGCUUGCAGUCUUGUUUGCACGGGCGCCGAGAUAAUGCGUCUGCGUUUGAAUGCAGCUUUCUUCUUCGAUGUUGAAUUUGACAGUGGAUAUGUCUGAAGUAUCUCGAUCCAUCUCGCUACUUGACCCUCUGGAUUUUUUAAGUUCAAAAGCCAAUUUAGUGCACCAUGAUCUGUGCGAACUUCUGUCCAUAGAUGUACUUAUGGAAGUGCUUUGUUGCCAACACCAGAGCAAGAAUUUUCCUCCUGGUCACGCAAUACUUUCUUUCUUGUUUCGAGAGUACUGUUAGAUACAUCCAUUUAUAAGAAUAAAACCAAGCGGUUCUACUUGAGGAAAACUAAUACUUUGAAAACAGAACUAUAGAAAAAAGAGUAGCUGCUAGAAAACCUGUUUUGAAAUCGGAGAUCAAAAAAUUAUUGAAAAACAGAAUCGUAAGGAGAGAAGAUUGAUUUUGGAUAAGUUGAAUCAAUAAACAAUAAACCAUUAUAUUUCGAAGCGGAACAUGAAGGUUUGUUUAACUUUUAACCGUUUCUAACUUCAGAAGUGGGAUAUGAACUACAAUUUAAUAAUACAAUUCUAUGGAAAAAUUUCAGGAUAAUGGAAUCGAAUAAUAUAAAUGAAACAAAAUAUAAGAGAUUUUGCAAGAACAUUACAAUUAUUAAAUGUCUUGAGAAAAGCAAUUUUUACAUUUCGUAAUCAAGCAAACUGAAAUUCAGCUGACGAAAACUCUUCCCAAAUUUUCUAUAAGUUACAUAAUUAAAGCCAUACAAUCCCAGAGAUGAAAUGACCAUGUGGAUUUAUCAUUUCUUUGAGUCUUUAAAUCAACGGAUUAUCUAAUUGGGAACUUCUUCGUACAAGUGGAGGAUAGAAAUCAACUUAAACGAGCUCCUGAGGUUCAACCUACACUCUAUUUCACUCUAUUUAUUUAUUUAUUCAUUACUUAAAAUUUUGAUAUAAAAAUAUAAUUAAAUACU